rfam:Aedes albopictus isolate Foshan contig3783, whole genome shotgun sequence.
UAGCCUAGUGGUUAAGGCUAUGGAUCGCCAAUCCGGAGAUGGCGGGUUCGAUUCCUGU